rnacentral:rRNA from 1 species
UAGCGGGCCGCGAAUUCGCCCUUCGGUAAUUCCAGCUCCAAUAGCGUAUAUUAAAGUUGUUGCAGUUAAAAAGCUCGUAGUUGAACCUUGGGCCUGGCUGGCCGGUCCGCCUCACCGCGUGCACUGGUCCGGCCGGGCCUUUCCUUCUGGGGAGCCGCAUGCCCUUCACUGGGUGUGUCGGGGAACCAGGACUUUUACUUUGAAAAAAUUAGAGUGUUCAAAGCAGGCCUAUGCUCGAAUACAUUAGCAUGGAAUAAUAGAAUAGGACGUGUGGUUCUAUUUUGUUGGUUUCUAGGACCGCCGUAAUGAUUAAUAGGGAUAGUCGGGGGCAUCAGUAUUCAAUUGUCAGAGGUGAAAUUCUUGGAUUUAUUGAAGACUAACUACUGCGAAAGCAUUUGCCAAGGAUGUUUUCAUUAAUCAGUGAACGAAAGUUAGGGGAUCGAAGACGAUCAGAUACCGUCGUAGUCUUAACCAUAAACUAUGCCGACUAGGGAUCGGGCGAUGUUAUCUUUUUGACUCGCUCGGCACCUUACGAGAAAUCAAAGUUUUUGGGUUCUGG